rnacentral:rRNA from 1 species
AAACGUAGGUGGCAAGCGUUGUCCGGAAUUACUGGGUGUAAAGGGAGCGCAGGCGGAAUGGCAAGUUGAAUGUGAAAACUAUGGGCUCAACCCAUAGAUUGCGUUCAAAACUGCUGUUCUUGAGUGAUGUAGAGGUAGGCGGAAUUCCCGGUGUAGCGGUGGAAUGCGUAGAUAUCGGGAGGAACACCAGUGGCGAAGGCGGCCUACUGGGCAUCAACUGACGCUGAGGCUCGAAAGUAUGGGGAGCAAACAGGAUUAGAUACCCUGGUAGUCCAUACCGUAAACGAUGAUUACUAGGUGUGGGGGGAUAGACCCCCUCCGUGCCGCAGCUAACGCAAUAAGUAAUCCACCUGGGGAGUACGGCCGCAAGGCUGAA